rnacentral:rRNA from 1 species
GACGAACGCUGGCGGCGUGCCUAAUACAUGCAAGUCGAACGCAGUGGGGACGGGUGAGUAACACGUGGGUAACCUCCCAUCAGAGGGGAUAACACUUGGAAACAGGUGCUAAACCGAUACUGAUGGAUGGACCCGCGGUGCAUUCGCUAGUUGGUGAGGUAACGGCUAACCGAGGCCAGGAUGCAUAGCCGACCUGAGAGGGUGAACGGCCACACUGGAACUGAGACACGGCCCAGACUCCGACGGGAGGCAGCAGGAGGGAAUCUUCGGCAAUGGACGAAAGUCUGACCGAGCAACGCCGCGUGUGUGAAGAAGGUUUUCGGAUCGUAAAACUCUGUUGGUAGAGAAGCGUUAUCUAAACAGAAAGCAACGGCUAACUACGUGCCAGCAGCCGCGGUAAUAC